rnacentral:lncRNA from 12 species
CCUAAGACCUGGAAUGUCUGGGGACAGAUUGUGGGAUUAGCAUUUUUAACAAGUUCACUAGGUGACUUUUGCACACACUAAAUUGUUAAUGCUGCAUUUUUGUCUACGCAAAGAAGAAAUUAGACAGAGGCCUCCCAAAUAAACUGGGCUUGACCCUGAGGAGUUUCCCUCAGGCGCUGGGACAGAGGGAAUUUGGAGCUGAACAGAGCUCAAGACACCGAUGCAGUAAGUUUCCAAAGUUCCUGCCGGCCAGAAUGUUUGCUGCUGGAACAAAAAAGACGCCAUAAAGACUGCAGUGAGCUGUGACGGCAGCUGACCCUCUAAACAAGAAGCUGUCAUCUACCAAAAGAGUGGCCCACUUGUGCAGGUGCCUCCCUGGGCUUGCACAGGAAGCAGCAAAAGGCAAGGAGGCAAAGGAGAGGCUGCCCUGCUCCUUGGGGCCAACCCUCCAGAAGCUACUCGUCAGCAAAAGAACAGAGAUGCUACCUCAGCCCUGCUGUCUGGUCUUUGGACGUGAGUGUACAUGGAGCUGGUCCUAAGAAAGCCCACACUUGUGUUGCACAGCGCAAUUCACACAGCUCACUCCCAGGACUCCACUUCCUCAUACCAACCUUUCUAAGGAGAGGAAAGGAAUCAAGCCCAUUCUGCAGAGGAGGACCAGUGAAGUUCAAGAAAAGUGUGAUGUCAAGUCAGAAGGAGAGCACAGAUUUCCUGAACUUUGCUCUAGCUGAACAUCUGAGGGGGAAAACAAAACACCCACCCCUCCAGGAGAGUGGCCUUUUGGGAAUUCCACAGCAAGUGUCUGGUAAGUGUUGUUUAAUUGGAUGCAUUAAUGUUUGUAGAGAGCGAGUCUAGACCUUUAGAGUUAAUCUAGUCUCUUCUCAACAGCCACAUUAGCCUUUAGGCUAAUUACGGAAAGAAAGACAAAAAGACAGAGACCUUGGAUCUUACAAUGGAGCUGGGCUUUUCUUGGGGCAGUAAAAUACUGUAUUUUAUUUUACUUUUUAAAUCAUUGAUUUUUUUUUUUUUUGGCAUAUAGUUCCACGAAUUUUAACAUUCGUGUAACCACCUUCAGGAGACAGAUCCAUCACACCUAAAAGCUCCUGAAUACUGGCCCUUUGAAAUGAUUUUCAAAAUAGUUAUCCUGGUGUACACAUAAAUUGAAAGCCACCAAGAUAUUUGUAAAAUGAAAUACACAUUUUGUUUGUAAGACAAAACUCGUGUGUGCUUUAGAGGAUUUGAUUUCCUUCCACUUUGGAGGAUACAAAAAUUAUUGAGAAAGAAUCCACACAGGUCCCUCAAUAAUUUUUAAAAGCAAAAUGAUGGCUUGACUUUGCAGGCUGUAACAGGAGACAUCAGAGCAGUAUGGGCAGUGGUGGGACCAUGCGAGAGGAAAGUAGCCUCUCAGGAAGGUAGGCGUCCCGGCAUUCCCC